rnacentral:rRNA from 1 species
GGUGAACGCUGGCGGUGUGCCUAACACAUGCAAGUCGAACGACCACACAAUAAGCUCUUGCUCCUACGGGUAGCGAGUGACGGGCGGGUGAGGCGUGCAUAGGCUUCCACUAUUUCGGGGGGGAUUACGUAAAACAGCUGCCGCUACUACCGAAUACGACCUACGGGUGAAAGCAGGAGUUAAUCGCGGCUUGCCCGUUUGAUAGAGACGAUGUCGGAUUAGCUAGUUGGCUAGGUAAAGGCACACCAAGGCAACGAUGCGUAGCUGACCUGAGAGGAUGAUCGGCCACACUGGAACUGAGACACGGUCCAGACUCCUACGGGAGGCAGCAGUAGGGAAUAUUGCGCAAUGGGCGCAAGCCUGACCCAGCCACGCCGCGUGAGUGAAGAAGGUCUUCGGGUCGUAAAGCUCUUUUAUUAGGAAAGAAAAACUGCGUAAGAAUAUACCGCCGUUCUGACGGUACCCAAUCAGAAAGCACCGGCUAACUUCGUG